CAGGCUUAACACAUGCAAGUCGAGGGGCAUCAGGAAGAAAGCUUGCUUUCUUUGCUGGCGACCGGCGCACGGGUGAGUAACACAUAUCCAACCUGCCCUUUACUCGGGGAUAGCCUUUCGAAAGAAAGAUUAAUACCCGAUAGCAUAAUGAUUCCGCAUGGUUUCAUUAUUAAAGGAUUCCGGUAAAGGAUGGGGAUGCGUUCCAUUAGGUUGUUGGUGAGGUAACGGCCCACCAAGCCUUCGAUGGAUAGGGGUUCUGAGAGGAAGGUCCCCCACAUUGGAACUGAGACACGGUCCAAACUCCUACGGGAGGCAGCAGUGAGGAAUAUUGGUCAAUGGGCGCUAGCCUGAACCAGCCAAGUAGCGUGAAGGAUGAAGGCUCUAUGGGUCGUAAACUUCUUUUAUAUAAGAAUAAAGUGCAGUAUGUAUACUGUUUUGUAUGUAUUAUAUGAAUAAGGAUCGGCUAACUCCGUGCCAGCAGCCGCGGUAAUACGGAGGAUCCGAGCGUUAUCCGGAUUUAUUGGGUUUAAAGGGAGCGUAGGUGGACUGGUAAGUCAGUUGUGAAAGUUUGCGGCUCAACCGUAAAAUUGCAGUUGAUACUGUCAGUCUUGAGUACAGUAGAGGUGGGCGGAAUUCGUGGUGUAGCGGUGAAAUGCUUAGAUAUCACGAAGAACUCCGAUUGCGAAGGCAGCUCACUGGACUGCAACUGACACUGAUGCUCGAAAGUGUGGGUAUCAAACAGGAUUAGAUACCCUGGUAGUCCACACAGUAAACGAUGAAUACUCGCUGUUUGCGAUAUACAGUAAGCGGCCAAGCGAAAGCAUUAAGUAUUCCACCUGGGGAGUACGCCGGCAACGGUGAAACUCAAAGGAAUUGACGGGGGCCCGCACAAGCGGAGGAACAUGUGGUUUAAUUCGAUGAUACGCGAGGAACCUUACCCGGGCUUAAAUUGCAGUGGAAUGAUGUGGAAACAUGUCAGUGAGCAAUCACCGCUGUGAAGGUGCUGCAUGGUUGUCGUCAGCUCGUGCCGUGAGGUGUCGGCUUAAGUGCCAUAACGAGCGCAACCCUUAUCUUUAGUUACUAACAGGUUAUGCUGAGGACUCUAGAGAGACUGCCGUCGUAAGAUGUGAGGAAGGUGGGGAUGACGUCAAAUCAGCACGGCCCUUACGUCCGGGGCUACACACGUGUUACAAUGGGGGGUACAGAAGGCAGCUAGCGGGUGACCGUAUGCUAAUCCCAAAAUCCUCUCUCAGUUCGGAUCGAAGUCUGCAACCCGACUUCGUGAAGCUGGAUUCGCUAGUAAUCGCGCAUCAGCCACGGCGCGGUGAAUACGUUCCCGGGCCUUGUACACACCGCCCGUCAAGCCAUGGGAGCCGGGGGUACCUGAAGUACGUAACCGCAAGGAUCGUCCUAGGGUAAAACUGGUGACUG
rnacentral:rRNA from 1 species